GAUGAAGAACGUAGCAAAAUGCGAUAAGUAAUGUGAAUUGCAGAAUUCAGUGAAUCAUCGAAUCUUUGAACGCACAUUGCGCCCGCUGGUAUUCCGGCGGGCAUGCCUGUUCGAGCGUCAUUUCAACCCUCAAGCCCCCGGGUUUGGUGUUGGGGAUCGGCUCUGCCCUUAUGGGCGGUGCCGCACCCGAAAUACAUUGGCGGUCUCGCUGCAGCCUCCAUUGCGUAGUAGCUAACACCUCGCAACUGGAACGCGGCGCGGCCAUGCCGUAAAACCCCAACUUCUGAAUGUUGACCUCGGAUCAGGUAGGAAUACCCGCUGAACUUAAGCAUAUCAAUAAGCGGAGGA
rnacentral:misc_RNA from 1 species